rnacentral:misc_RNA from 1 species
GAGAGAGAGUAAUGUAUUACAAUUACAUAGCACAGACAUUAUAAACAUACCUAUAAUGCAACAAGUGGCUCAGCCAAUUUCAUGCAUGCCUUAGUUAUAAGGAUGCAUCACUGAAGGGCCCUUAUUCUGUGAUGACGAUGAGACUGUAUUCCAUAACAUUAUCUAAUGCAGAGCCAGCAUUCUGGUUCAAGUUAUCCCAAGUGAUAUUUAUACAAUUUUUAGUUAUAAAAAUAGAGCAAUUAUACCAAACACAUGCCAUGUCAGCAUCAGAAAAUAAUUAGAAUCUGCCAUUGAUGACUUUGUACCCCAUGCAUAUAACAGCUAUAUACAUUUAUAUGGAAACAACUAUGGCUCAGAAAAAAAUACAGUGCAUAUCAGAUAAGCAGCUGAACACCACUUGAGCGUAGGUCAGGUGGCAGAUGCAUUUGGUAUAGAUCAUAGGUUCAAGCCAUAAUACUCUCCUCUUCCACCACAUGAAAAAUUAAAAAUAAUGAUAGAAAACAAUUAUACCAAUAUAGAAAUGAACAACUCAACUCAACUAAGCCU